rnacentral:rRNA from 1 species
UACGGAGGAUGCAAGCGUUAUCCGGAAUUAUUGGGCGUAAAGCGUCCGCAGGUGGUUUAUCAAGUCUGCUGUCAAAGCGCGAGGCUUAACUUCGUAAAGGCAGUGGAAACUGAUGGACUUGAGUGUGAUAGGGGCAGAGGGAAUUCCCAGUGUAGCGGUGAAAUGCGUAGAGAUUGGGAAGAACACCGGUGGCGAAAGCGCUCUGCUGGGGUCACAACUGACACUGAGGGACGAAAGCUAGGGGAGCGAAAGGG